GAGCUUACAAUUGAUCUGACAGUUACACUGAGCUUCACUCCAGAAUAGAAUCCCUGUUUCCUGCCCCGGGGAGAAUAUUUCCUGCACAUUUCUGUCUCCUUAUGCAAGUUUCUCCCACAUCCAUG